rnacentral:lncRNA from 1 species
CUGCAUUUCAUAAAGAUUGAUUUUAAUUUAAAUUCAACAGCUCAAGUACUGAAACUUUAUGAUUUUUGUUUUACAGGCAGCUUGGACUUCUUCCAGUCCUAUCUGAAAGAAAACUAUGGCCACAUCGAGAUGGCAGCAGAAGUCACCACAGAGGGUCAUGUGUGGACCACUGAGGCAACAAAAGUGAAAUUUAUUUGGGAUUAAAAGUUAACAGACCGUUGUGCAACCGGGUGAUAAUCUUGUAUUUAAGGAAGUUCUUAUGUAGCAAGCACAAGUUAUGAAGUUAGUAAAGGCUGUUAUUAAUUACAUCAGAUGACUUUUGUUGCUGCGAGAGUGUCGACCAUGUUCAUCUACUGAAGCUGCAAUGACAUCCACUAUCUCAUAGAAUGUUCUAUGAGCAGUACUUUGAGAAAAAUUAUAUCUGUCAUCAA